GACGAACGCUGGCGGCGUGCCUAAUACAUGCAAGUAGGACGCAGUUGCGAACGGGUGAGUAACGCGUAGGUAACUGCCUAUUAGAGGGGGAUAACUAUUGGACACGAUAGCUAAUACCGCAUACUAGUAGAUGGACCUGCGUUGUAUUAGCUAGGAGGUAGGGUAAUGGCCUACCUAGGCAACGCUACAUAGCCGACCUGAGAGGGUGAUCGGCCACACGGGGACUGGGACACGGACCAGACUCCCACGGGAGGCAGCAGUAGGGAAUCUUCGGCAAUGGGGGGAACCCUGACCGAGCAACGCCGGGGUAGUGGAGAAGGUUUUCGGAUCGUAAAGCGCUGUUGUUAAGGAAGCGGUACUUAACCAGAAAGGGACGGCUAACUACGUGCCAGCAGCCGCGGUAAUUC
rnacentral:rRNA from 1 species